GAUGAAGAACGUAGCAAAAUGCGAUAAGUAAUGUGAAUUGCAGAAUUCAGUGAAUCAUCGAAUCUUUGAACGCACAUUGCGCCCGCCAGUAUUCUGGCGGGCAUGCCUGUUCGAGCGUCAUUUCAACCCUCAAGCACAGCUUGGUGUUGGGACUCGCGUUAAUUCGCGUUCCUCAAAUUGAUUGGCGGUCACGUCGAGCUUCCAUAGCGUAGUAGUAAAACCCUCGUUACUGGUAAUCGUCGCGGCCACGCCGUUAAACCCCAACUUCUGAAUGUUGACCUCGGAUCAGGGAGGAAUACCCGCUGAACUUAAGCAUAUCAAUAAGCGGAGGA
rnacentral:misc_RNA from 1 species